rnacentral:antisense_RNA from 1 species
AAGGCUUUCACAACGUGCUUUUGUCAUGGUUAGACAGAUCAAGCCACGACCAUGCGUAGCCAUAAAGUUGAUUGCUUCCGGCGUAAUGUGCUCGGCAGCCAUGAUCA